GAAAGAGAACGCAGACUUUCGGUUGACAGCCACGGACAGUAUUACAACAAUCGUUCUCUGGACAAUAUUCAAAAAUAAGCCAAGAAAUAUCCGACCAAGUGCACUUGCUCACACUUACACAGUUCAAGUGGCUGCUCAAGAUUGCUUACUUGUGACAUAUAGCCACACAAACAAUGGUAAGCAACACUGCCUCUUGUGGGGAUUAUCAAGAGAGCAAGUAGACCAGAACACUACAUGUUAUAAGAACAUUACGUCGGUGUGUUCUGAAGAAAUGUAUGACACGACGGAAAGUGCAAAGAAUGACCCAUGUCAUCAGUAUGAUCGGGAUGAAGAAGAAAUUCAAGAAUAAAUAAGAAAGGAACAAGAAUCGACAUAUGAGGAUGGUGAUUAAAUUGUAAUAAAAGUACCCAUUAGUACUAACACAAGAUUGCUGGUA